GAUGAACGCUGGCGGCGUGCCUAAUACAUGCAAGUCGAGCGAACGGACGAGAAGCUUGCUUCUCUGAUGUUAGCGGCGGACGGGUGAGUAACACGUGGAUAACCUACCUAUAAGACUGGGAUAACUUCGGGAAACCGGAGCUAAUACCGGAUAAUAUUUUGAACCGCAUGGUUCAAAAGUGAAAGACGGUCUUGCUGUCACUUAUAGAUGGAUCCGCGCUGCAUUAGCUAGUUGGUAAGGUAACGGCUUACCAAGGCAACGAUGCAUAGCCGACCUGAGAGGGGGCUGCGCCACCUGGGAAUAGAGACGGGGGCGAGACCCACAGGGGAGGCAGGGGGAGGGAAUUUCCCGAAAGGGGAGAAAGCUGAAGGGAAAAACCCCGGGGGAGAGAAAAGGGUCUGCGGAGCGAAAAACUUUUUUUUUGGGAAAAAAAAUAUGGGUAAAUAACGGUGAAAAUUUUGCGGGAACUAAACAAAAAAGCAAGGGUAACUUCCAG
rnacentral:rRNA from 1 species